GCAAGCGUUAUCCGGAAUCAUUGGGCGUAAAGCGCCUGUAGGUUGUUUAAUAAGUCCGUUGUUAAAGACUAGGGCUUAACCCUAGGAAAGCGAUGGAAACUGAUAGACUUGAGUAUGGCAGGGGUAGAGGGAAUUUCUAGUGGUAGCGGUGAAAUGCGUAGAUAUUAGAAAGAACACCGGUGGCGAAAGCGCUCUACUGGACCAUUACUGACACUGAGAGGCGAAAGCUAGGGGAGCGAAAGGGAUUAGAUACCCCUGUAGUCCUAGCCGUAAACGAUGGAUACUAGAUGUUGUGCAAUUUGGACAGUAUCGUAGCUAACGCGUUAAGUAUCCCGCCUGGGGAGUACGCUCGCAAGGGUGAAACUCAAAGGAAUUGACGGGGGCCCGCACAAGCGGUGGAGCAUGUGGUUUAAUUCGAUGCAACGCGAAGAACCUUACCAGGACUUGACAUACUACAGAUUCUUUUGAGAAAAAGAAGUGCCUUCGGGAAUGUAGAUACAGGUGGUGCAUGGCUGUCGUCAGCUCGUGUCGUGAGAUGUUGGGUUAAGUCCCGCAACGAGCGCAACCCUUAUUUUUAGUUACCAAUUCGUUGGGUUCUCUAGAAAGACUGCCGGUGACAAACCGGAGGAAGGUGAGGAUGACGUCAAGUCAGCAUGCCCCUUAUGUCCUGGGCC
rnacentral:rRNA from 1 species